AUUGAACGCUGGCGGCAGGCCUAACACAUGCAAGUCGAGCGGAUGAAGGGAGCUUGCUCCUGGAUUCAGCGGCGGACGGGUGAGUAAUGCCUAGGAAUCUGCCUGGUAGUGGGGGAUAACGUCCGGAAACGGGCGCUAAUACCGCAUACGUCCUGAGGGAGAAAGUGGGGGAUCUUCGGACCUCACGCUAUCAGAUGAGCCUAGGUCGGAUUAGCUAGUUGGUGGGGUAAAGGCCUACCAAGGCGACGAUCCGUAACUGGUCUGAGAGGAUGAUCAGUCACACUGGAACUGAGACACGGUCCAGACUACUACGGGAGGCAGCAGUGGGGAAUAGUGGACAAUGGGCGAAAGCCUGAUCCAGCCAUGCCGCGUGUGUGAAGAAGGUCUUCGGAUUGUAAAGCACUUUAAGUUGGGAGGAAGGGCAGUAAGUUAAUACCUUGCUGUUUUGACGCUACCAACAGAAUAAGCACCGGCUAACUUCGUG
rnacentral:rRNA from 1 species